ACCUCCUAACCUUAUUAGCAUAAAUCGGAAGAAUUCGGAGAUAAACGUAAUAAAGUAUGAACAAAAUCCGUAAACGUCCGAACAGCUUUCCUCGCGAGAAUUCAACGAGAGCAAAAUGCCAGUGGUGAAAAUCGAGAGAGAAAUUCAACAUGAAAAAAGAGGUAAAACUUUAUGUUUUCUCGAUUUAUAAGGUUUGUAAAUUGCAAAAAGUUGAAAAACAAACGUUUCUUUACUUGAAAAGUGAAAGUAGGUAUACGGUUUCUCAUUCUGUCAAGUGCUAUUGCACUUUAAAGUGUCAAAACAACACCUCUCGAUUUUGUAAACAUGUUUCCACGUGGAGGGGAGUAUUUGUGUCGGUCAAGAUUAACCCACAUACAUUGAUUUAGUAAACGAAAACACUCGUAAGUAGAAUUUUAUUUAUCUUUUCGAUUACCUGUAGCACAAAAUGGCUAAAUAUUUUAGGGCAUGUUUGCCAAAUGAUGUUAAUAGCAUGUCUUAAAUUGAAGAGAAAAUGCAGGUGCGCUAUAGGCCGUUCCUAUUUGUAAGGUAGUCUACCAUGCAUGCAUAUGCAGAAUUACGCGUAUCAAAGUCAUUAUUUUUACUUAUCAAUACCCAGUGAUUUGUGCGAACCAUUUGUGUGUUUUUUUAAAUACCAAGAGACUAAAAUUUAAUUCUAUCCGUAUACUCGUGUGUAUGCACAAGUACUUCUUCCGAAUUUCCUCUAUACAUAUACAUGUGUACCUGGAUUAAGGUUAGAGUACAUCUUGAACAACCAUCUCCAGGAUAUACUCUGAAGACAGCGAUGUGAAAGUUCAAGGUUUGCCUGUUCAGAUCCUUUAAUAAAGAAUGGAUGGAAAAAUUCUCACGUCAUGCUGCAUAACAGUACAUUUCAGCUGCGACAAUAAAAAUUAUCUGAUGAAAGCUUCAACCACGAGAAUAGGAAAGGAUGUCAAGGCCAAAGAGAAGGCCAUAUAACAAAUGGUUGCUGAAUUCAUGAAGACUGGGAUGAUACAGUACUUUUUUUAUUUGAGGAUACCUUUCUAA